rnacentral:tRNA from 1 species
GAGCCGCUUGGCAUAGCGGUUAAGUGCUUGCACUGCAACUCACACGGUCAGGAGUUCGAGCCCCCUGUGGGUCA